UGCAUGGUGGUGCAGAUGGUAGCACUGUUGCUUUGCAGCAAGAAGGUCCUGGGUUCAACUCCCUGCUGGGGGUCUUUCUGCAU